rnacentral:rRNA from 1 species
CCCUUAGAUGUCCGGGGCUGCACGCGCGCUACACUGAAGGAAUCAGCGUGCUAAAACCAUUGUCGAAAGGCAUUGGUAAACCCAUUAAAAUCCUACGUGAUUGGGAUCGGGAAUUGCAAUUAUUUCCCUUGAACGAGGAAUUCCCAGUAAGUGUGGGUCAUAAGCUCGCGUUGAUUACGUCCCUGCCCUUUGUACACACCGCCCGUCGCUGCCCGGGACUGAGACGUUUCGAGAAAAGCGGGGACUGCUGCUGUCGGGGCUUUCGGGCCUUGGCUUCGGUGGAAACCGCUUUAAUCGCAGUGGCUUGAACCGGGCAAAAGUCGUANCA